rnacentral:rRNA from 1 species
GGAUCUUGCGCAAUGGGGGAAACCCUGACGCAGCAACGCCGCGUGGACGAUGAAGCUUCUUGGAGUGUAAAGUCCUUUCGGCAGGGACGAAUAAAUUGACGGUACCUGCAGAAGAAGCCCCGGCUAACUUCGUGCCAGCCGCCGCGGUAAUACGAGGGGGGCAAGCGUUGUUCGGAAUUAUUGGGCGUAAAGGGCGCGUAGGCGGUGUGGCAAGUCAGGUGUGAAACCUCCAGGCUUAACUUGGAGCUGGCAUCUGAAACUGCCGUGCUAGAGUGUGGGAGAGGAGAGUGGAAUUCCUGGUGUAGCGGUGAAAUGCGUAGAUAUCAGGAGGAACACCGGUGGCGAAGGCGGCUCUCUGGACCACAACUGACGCUGAGGCGCGAAAGCUAGGGGAGCAAACAGG